rnacentral:rRNA from 1 species
UCAGAUUGAACGCUGGCGGCAUGCCUUACACAUGCAAGUCGAACGGCAGCACGGGGGCAACCCUGGUGGCGAGUGGCGAACGGGUGAGUAACAUAUCGGAACGUGCCCUGGAGUGGGGGAUAACUAGUCGAAAGACUAGCUAAUACCGCAUACGAUCUACGGAUGAAAGUGGGGGAUCGCAAGACCUCAUGCUCGUGGAGCGGCCGAUAUCUGAUUAGCUAGUUGGUGGGGUAAAGGCCUACCAAGGCAUCGAUCAGUAGCUGGUCUGAGAGGACGACCAGCCACACUGGGACUGAGACACGGCCCAGACUCCUACGGGAGGCAGCAGUGGGGAAUUUUGGACAAUGGGCGCAAGCCUGAUCCAGCAAUGCCGCGUGAGUGAAGAAGGCCUUCGGGUUGUAAAGCUCUUUUGUCAGGGAAGAAACGGUGAGGGCUAAUAUCCCUUGCUAAUGACGGUACCUGAAGAAUAAGCACCGGCUAACUACGUGCCAGCAGCCGCGGUAAUACGUAGGGUGCAAGCGUUAAUCGGAAUUACUGGGCGUAAAGCGUGCGCAGGCGGUUGUGCAAGACCGAUGUGAAAUCCCCGGGCUUAACCUGGGAAUGGCAUUGGUGACUGCACGGCUAGAGUGUGUCAGAGGGGGGUAGAAUUCCACGUGUAGCAGUGAAAUGCGUAGAGAUGUGGAGGAAUACCGAUGGCGAAGGCAGCCCCCUGGGAUACACUGACGCUCAUGCACGAAAGCGU